UACGAAGGGGGCUAGCGUUGUUCGGAUUUACUGGGCGUAAAGCGCACGUAGGCGGAUCGUUAAGUCAGGGGUGAAAUCCUGGGGCUCAACCCCAGAACUGCCUUUGAUACUGGCGAUCUCGAGUCCGGAAGAGGUGAGUGGAACUCCUAGUGUAGAGGUGGAAUUCGUAGAUAUUAGGAAGAACACCAGUGGCGAAGGCGGCUCACUGGUCCGGUACUGACGCUGAGGUGCGAAAGCGUGGGGAGCAAACAGGG
rnacentral:rRNA from 1 species